rnacentral:lncRNA from 1 species
CUCGUCAGGGUCUGUGUGAGGUCGGAAGUGUACGGCGCCAUGAUCAAUCAGUAAGCACUGCCUACACGUGUCGGGAUCACAGGGAAAUGAGAUGAAUCUUGUCAAGAUGAAACCUAGAGUGACAAGCAGGAUCCAGAAUUAAGAACUGCAUGAGAAAGGCAGUGGAGUAGUGACAGGAACAUGGUCAGUCCUGACAGAUAAGGCUGGGCCCUUUACAGGGGCACAGAAUGAGGAAAUAUGAACAUUUCAAAUUUCCAAGAAGAAAAAUUCAUCGCCAGGUAUAUGGAUGUCCUGAGGACCAAGUGACAAAUUGAAAUAUGUGAGGGCUGAGAAGGUGGAGACUGUCUCAUUCCACAGAGCAGAAAUUGUGACUGCCCAAGUUAAGAAAAGAUAAG